UACGAGGGGGGCAAGCGUUGUUCGGAAUUAUUGGGCGUUAAAGGGCGCGUAGGCGGUGCGGUAAGUCCGUAGUGAAAUCUCUGGGCUCAACUCAGAGUCUGCUGCGGAAACUGCCGUGCUUGAGUGUCGGAGAGGUAAGUGGAAUUCCCGGAUGUGAGCGGUGAAAUGCGUAGAUAUCGGGAGGAACACCUGUGGCGAAAGCGGCUUACUAGACGACAACUGACGCUGAGGCGACGAAAGCUAGGGGAGCAAACAGG
rnacentral:rRNA from 1 species